AGGUCUCCUGAAGGAACGUUGAAGACGACGACGUUGAUAGGUCGGGUGUGUAAGUGUAGCGAUACAUUGAGCUAACCGGUACUAAUGAACCGUGAGGCUUAACCUU
rnacentral:rRNA from 1 species